UACGUAGGGUGCGAGCGUUGUCCGGAAUUACUGGGCGUAAAGAGCUCGUAGGUGGUUUGUCGCGUUGUCCGUGAAAUUCCCUGGCUUAACUGGGGGGCGUGCGGGCGAUACGGGCAGACUGGAGUACUGCAGGGGAGACUGGAAUUCCUGGUGUAGCGGUGGAAUGCGCAGAUAUCAGGAGGAACACCGGUGGCGAAGGCGGGGUCUCUGGGC
rnacentral:rRNA from 1 species